AAAUUGAAGAGUUUGAUCAUGGCUCAGAUUGAACGCUGGCGGCAGGCCUAACACAUGCAAGUCGAACGGUAACAGGAAGCAGCUUGCUGCUUCGCUGACGAGUGGCGGACGGGUGAGUAAUGUCUGGGAAACUGCCUGAUGGAGGGGGAUAACUACUGGAAACGGUGGCUAAUACCGCAUAACGUCGCAAGACCAAAGAGGGGGACCUUCGGGCCUCUUGCCAUCAGAUGUGCCCAGAUGGGAUUAGCUUGUUGGUGAGGUAACGGCUCACCAAGGCGACGAUCCCUAGCUGGUCUGAGAGGAUGACCAGCCACACUGGAACUGAGACACGGUCCAGACUCCUACGGGAGGCAGCAGUGGGGAAUAUUGCACAAUGGGCGCAAGCCUGAUGCAGCCAUGCCGCGUGUAUGAAGAAGGCCUUCGGGUUGUAAAGUACUUUCAGCGGGGAGGAAGGUGUUGUGGUUAAUAACCGCAGCAAUUGACGUUACCCGCAGAAGAAGCACCGGCUAACUCCGUGCCAGCAGCCGCGGUAAUACGGAGGGUGCAAGCGUUAAUCGGAAUUACUGGGCGUAAAGCGCACGCAGGCGGUCUGUCAAGUCGGAUGUGAAAUCCCCGGGCUCAACCCGGGAACUGCAUUCGAAACUGGCAGGCUUGAGUCUUGUAGAGGGGGUAGAAUUCCAGGUGUAGCGGUGAAAUGCGUAGAGAUCUGGAGGAAUACCGGUGGCGAAGGCGGCCCCCUGGACAAAGACUGACGCUCAGGUGCGAAAGCGUGGGGAGCAAACAGGAUUAGAUACCACGGUAGUCCACGCCGUAAACGAUGUCUACUUGGAGGUUGUGCCCUUGAGGCGUGGCUUCCGGAGCUAACGCGUUAAGUAGACCGCCCGGGAGUACGGCCGCAAGGUUAAAACUCAAAUGAAUUGACGGGGGCCCGCACAAGCGGUGGAGCAUGUGGUUUAAUUCGAUGCAACGCGAAGAACCUUACCUGGUCUUGACAUCCACAGAAGAAUCCAGAGAUGGAUUUGUGCCUUCGGGAACUGUGAGACAGGUGCUGCAUGGCUGUCGUCAGCUCGUGUUGUGAAAUGUUGGGUUAAGUCCCGCAACGAGCGCAACCCUUAUCCUUUGUUGCCAGCGGUUAGGCCGGGAACUCAAAGGAGACUGCCAGUGAUAAACUGGAGGAAGGUGGGGAUGACGUCAAGUCAUCAUGGCCCUUACGACCAGGGCUACACACGUGCUACAAUGGCGCAUACAAAGAGAAGCGACCUCGCGAGAGCAAGCGGACCUCAUAAAGUGCGUCGUAGUCCGGAUUGGAGUCUGCAACUCGACUCCAUGAAGUCGGAAUCGCUAGUAAUCGUGGAUCAGAAUGCCACGGUGAAUACGUUCCCGGGCCUUGUACACACCGCCCGUCACACCAUGGGAGUGGGUUGCAAAAGAAGUAGGUAGCUUAACCUUCGGGAGGGCGCUUACCACUUUGUGAUUCAUGACUGGGGUGAAGUCGUAACAAGGUAACCGUAGGGGAACCUGCGGUUGGAUCACCUCCUUA
rnacentral:rRNA from 1 species